rnacentral:lncRNA from 1 species
UCCAAAAUAAAAGCAACUCAUAUUCAUUUAAUUUUUAAAUAUCUUAAAACAAACAUUGCCUGUUGUUGUAAAUAACUAGGUGACACAAAUUUCCCAGUAUAAUGCACUUGUUUCAAGAUCACCUUAGUCAGCUAUUUUGAUAUAAUUAUUUCAUUAGGUCGAAUCGUGUCAACAAUCAUAAUAAACAAUUGGGAUUGAUUAUAGAUACGUAACAAGUAAAUAAAGAGAUCAUUCCUUAUUCAGCAUUCAUUAUUCAACCAUCAAGGUGGUGAGAAUAUAGACUUUCGUCCACCAACUUGUUACUGAUAAUAAUUAGUAGUGUUCAAUAAAUAAAGUAUGAACAAAUAGUGUUUUACCAAGUCAACCCUCACCUCCAGUUAGUCAACUACCCCACAACAACCAAAUUCUUUUAUAUAGGUACAUUGUAAAUCCCAAAUGAUUUCCAAAAUUUAUACAUUGUAAAUUAUGAUUCGGGAGUGCUCCUAGUAGCGUUUAACGUGUCUUGGUUUGUUUAUUUCAACUGCAUCUUGAUUUUAAAUUUAGUAUAGAAUGCUUCUUGAUGGAGCUGGUGACAUGUAUGAAUAUCUUUGGCUGUAGAAGAGUUUUGAUAUCUUGUAGUUUGUAAUUUAUGUAAGACUAUAUGUAUCAUAUGCCUGAUGAUGAGGCAAAUAAUGUAAGCCUCGAAAUCGGUUGCCCCCAAUUUGUAACAUCAAAUAAAUACAAACUCAAAGAUUG